rnacentral:rRNA from 1 species
UGCAAGUCGAACGAACGGAUUGAGGAGCUUGCUCUUCAAGAAGUUAGUGGCGGACGGGUGAGUAACACGUGGGUAACCUGCCCUUCAGCGGGGGAUAACAUCCGGAAACGGGUGCUAAUACCGCAUAGUUUCUUUUUCCGCCUGGAAGAAGAAGGAAAGAUGGCCUUUGUGCUAUCACUGAGGGAUGGACCCGCGGCGUAUUAGUUAGUUGGUGGGGUAAUGGCCUACCAAGACGAUGAUACGUAGCCGACCUGAGAGGGUGAUCGGCCACAUUGGGACUGAGACACGGCCCAAACUCCUACGGGAGGCAGCAGUAGGGAAUCUUCCGCAAUGGACGAAAGUCUGACGGAGCAACGCCGCGUGAGUGAAGAAGGUUUUCGGAUCGUAAAACUCUGUUGUCGGAGAAGAACAAGUAGGAGAGUAACUGUUCCUACCUUGACGGUACCCGACCAGAAAGCCACGGCUAACUACGUGCCAGCAGCCGCGGUAAUACGUAGGUGGCAAGCGUUGUCCGGAUUUAUUGGGCGUAAAGCGAGCGCAGGUGGUUUCUUAAGUCUGAUGUGAAAGCCCACGGCUCAACCGUGGAAGGUCAUUGGAAACUGGGGAACUUGAAUGCAGAAGAGGAGAGUGGAAUUCCAUGUGUAGCGGUGAAAUGCGUAGAUAUAUGGAGGAACACCAGUGGCGAAGGCGACUCUCUGGUCUGUUAUUGACACUGAGGCUCGAAAGCGUGGGGAGCAAACAGGAUUAGAUACCCUGGUAGUCCACGCCGUAAACGAUGAGUGCUAAGUGUUGGAGGGCUUCCACCCUUCAGUGCUGCAGUUAACGCAUUAAGCACUCCGCCUGG